rnacentral:rRNA from 1 species
GAUCCUGGCUCAGGACGAACGCUGGCGGCGUGCCUAACACAUGCAAGUCGAACGAAGCUCUGCGAUACAAGACUUCGGUCAAGUUGAACGGAUGACUUAGUGGCGGACGGGUGAGUAACGCGUGAGGAACCUGCCGUUUCAGUGGGGGGACAAACAGUUGGAAACGACUGCUAAUACCGCAUAAUGUAUUCUGACCGCAUGAUCGGAAUACCAAAGAUUUAUUGCUGAAAAGAUCGGCCUCG